rnacentral:rRNA from 1 species
AUUGAACGCUGGCGGCAUGCCUUACACAUGCAAGUCGAACGGUAACGCGGGGCAACCUGGCGACGAGUGGCGAACGGGUGAGUAAUGCAUCGGAACGUGCCCAGUAGUGGGGGAUAGCCCGGCGAAAGCCGGAUUAAUACCGCAUACGACCUACGGGUGAAAGCGGGGGAUCGCAAGACCUCGCGCUAUUGGAGCGGCCGAUGUCAGAUUAGGUAGUUGGUGGGGUAAAGGCCUACCAAGCCUUCGAUCUGUAGCUGGUCUGAGAGGACGACCCACCACACUGGGACUGAGACACGUCCCAGACUCCUACGGGAGGCAGCAGUGGGGAAUUUUGGACAAUGGGCGCAAGCCUGUUCCAGCCAUGCCGCGUGCGGGAAGAAGGCCUUCGGGUUGUAAACCGCUUUUGUCAGGGAAGAAACGCUCUGGGCUAAUACCCCGGGGUAAUGACGGUACCUGAAGAAUAAGCACCGGCUAACUACGUGCCAGCAGCCGCGGUAACAC